rnacentral:rRNA from 1 species
AUGGCCUACUUCGAUGAGAAAGCGAAGGAAGAUCCAGAUUUCUUCUACAGGAUAAGAUUGGACGAUGAGGACCGUGUCAGGAACAUGUAUUGGGUGGAUGGUGCUGCAAGAAGAGACUACAAAUAUUUCCGAGAUUGCAUUUCAUUCGAUGCGACGUAUCUCACUAAUAUGUACAAGAUGCCAUGUGCUCCAUUCAUAGGAAUAAAUAACCACAAUCAGUCGUUGCAGUUCGGAUGCGGGCUCGUUCGGAACGAAGACACGGAUGGGUACGUUUAGCUGUUCAAGACCUUCUUGGAGUGCAUGGAUGUACUUGCUUCGAUGAACAUAAUAACAGACCAGGAUUUCAACAUGCGUGCAUGCAUAGAGGGGGUCUUUUCGUUGGCCGUGCACAGGCACUGCAGGUGGCACAUUAUAAACAAGGCUGAGGAGACGCUAGGACCGUUCUUUGCUGACUGUCCAGAGCAGCACAAGGCAUUCGAGCUGUCCGUGGACCACAGCUUGACGGUGGAGGAGUUUGAAAGGAGUUGGAUGGCCAUGAUUGAAACAUAUCAAGUUCAAGACAACGAGACUCUUGCUAGUCUGUGGGAGAAGCGAAUGUACUAG